UACGUAGGGACCGAGCGUUGUCCGGAAUCAUUGGGCGUAAAGAGCGUGUAGGCGGUUCAGUAAGUCUGCUGUGAAAGUCCAGGGCUCAACCCUGGGAUGCCGGUGGAUACUGCUGGGCUAGAGUACGGAAGAGGCGAGUGGAAUUCCCGGUGUAGCGGUGAAAUGCGCAGAUAUCGGGAGGAACACCUAUUGCGAAGGCAGCUCGCUGGGACGUUACUGACGCUGAGACGCGAAAGCGUGGGGAGCAAACAGG
rnacentral:rRNA from 1 species